AUGCAACGCGAGGACCUCCGCGGCGUCGAGACGUAUCUCGGGCGCCCAUGGCAGCCGUAUGCCCGGGUAAUCUUCAUCCACUGCCACAUGGACGCCAUAGUGCACCCCUUAUGGACAGGGUGGUUGCCCUGGAACAAUAACGUCACUGCCACGCGCACUGUCUUCUUCGCCGAGUUCGAGAACCAGGGUCCUGGAGCCGACGUGCGCGGGCGCGUCAACUGGGCUGGCUUCCACAACAUAAAAAAGGCGUCCAAGGCGGCCAAGUUUACUGUGAACAACUUCAUCCAUGGCGGCGCCUGGCUGCCGGAGACCGGCGUCCCGUACAAGGGGGGGCUCUGA
rnacentral:rRNA from 1 species